ACCUCUUACCUAUCGAAGGAGAUGAUGUUGUCUUGGGAAUGGACUGGUUGUGUUCUUUGGGCCCCUUAAUGGUUGAUUUUUCUAAGUCGCAACUAUCUUUUACCCACAAUGGGUUACCCAUUACACUGCAUGGUACCACAAAUCUGCUACGCAGUCAAGCUUCCUUCACUCAUCUUUGCCAUAUGUUACACAUAGAUGCCAUUUCUUCUCUACAUCUCCUCAUUAUUGAUCCACUGCCAUCACCAUCCAGCCCUCACAGAUUAUCCAAACCCUAAGCUAUAUCCCAUCUUUUACAAACAUAUAGUUAAGUUUUCUCUUCUCCCCAUGGACUACCUCCACACAAACCCCACAAUCAUCACAUUUCCCUUAUUCCACACUCUUCCCCAGUUAACAUUAAACCCUACCGCUACCCACAUGCUCACAAGCACACGAUGACCUCCUUCAUUCACGAAAUGCUCAACGAAGGCAUUAUCCGCCUCAGCACAACCCCUUUUCUUCCCCAGUUAUCCUCAUAAAAAAGAGAGAUGACACCUGACGUUUUUGUGUGGAUUAUAGAGGCCUAAAUGCCAUUACUGUUAAAGACCGUUUUCCUAUUCCAACUAUUGAUGAAUUGUUGGAUGAAGUGACCACUGUCAAGGUUUUCACCGAACUUAACCUACAUUCAGGUUACCAUCAAAUUCGAGUUAAUCCUACAGAUUGCCACAAAACCGCUUUUAGAACCUUUGAUGGCCUUUACGAGUUCUUAGUUAUGCCUUUUGGCCUUACUAAUGCACCAUUUACCUUUCAGGCAGCCAUGGAUGAUUUACUCAGGCCCCAUCUACGACACUUUAUCCUAGUUUUUUUUAUGACAUUCUCAUUUACAGCAAAUCCAUGCAAGAACACAUUCACCACCUCACUUUGGUCCUUCAAUUAUUAGACACUCAUAAAUUCUUUGUUAAGGAAUCAAAAUGUGUGUUUGCCACAACCAGAGUCUCAUACCUAGGUCAUCUUUUGGAAGAAGGCAUAGUGGCUCCAGAUCCGGAUAAAAUAAAGGCUAUCAUACUUUGGCCUAAACCUACAUCCCUUACUACCCUACGUGCGUUUCUGGGUAUUACGGGAUUUUAUCGGAAGUUCAUCCGCAGUUAUGCCACUCUUGCCUCGCCACUCACGGAGUUACUCAAAUCAUCAACAUUUACAUGGAAUACAAAUGCAGAGGAAGCCUUUACAAAAUUGAAAAAUAUCCUAACUACAGCUCCGAUGUUGAAUCUUCUGAAUUUCGCCAUACCGUUCGUGGUAGAAAUCGACGCCUCCAACAUAGCAAUUGGAGUUGUGCUACCCUAAUAAGGUCACCCUAUUGCUUUCUUCAGCAAGAAGCUUUGCCCAAAAAUGCAAACUAGCUCAACAUAUGUCAAGGAAAUGCUAGCUAUAACAGAAGCUGUAAAAAAGUGGCGUCAUUAUCUCAUAGGUACACAUUUCACAGUAAUAACAGACCAACAAAGCUUAAAGGGGUUACUCACCAAUGCAUGCCACACACCGGAACAACAAAAGUGGGCUACCAAGCUGCUUGGAUACAGUUUUGACAUUCGAUACCGCCCAGGCCGCCAAAAUCAAGCUGUUGAUUUCUUGUCCUGGCCACCCCAAUCUCUCCUUUUUGCCAUAUCUUCCCCGAUUCCGAACAUGUUAAAGGAAUUACAGGAUUAUUACGAGACGAAAAGGGGAGAAGAAGAGGUUCACAGAUUAAUUUCAUUACCUGACACCAAUUACAGUUUUCACCACGACCUUCUAUACCAUGCUCAAAGAUUAUACGUUCCUUCCAUAGAGCACAUUCGUUCGGCCAUACUCCAUGAGUUCCAUGCUUCUCCCACCGCCAGCCACUCGGGCAUUAAGGCCACCAUGGCCAGGCUCGCGACCUCUUUUUUCUGGCCUGGUAUGUACCAUGACACCAAAAGGUAUAUCAAGGAAUGCUUACCCUGCCAACAAAACAAAUCAUUACAUCAGAAACCUUUUGGACUACUCCAACCCAUACCCAUACCAACCAAACUGUUGAAAGAACUAACUACAGAUUUCAUCACGCACCUACCUUCAUCUUUAGGGCACAUGGUCAUCUAGGUUGUUUGUGACAGACUCUCCAAAUCAGCCCACUUCAUCGCCCUUCCCACAUCCUUCACAGUCACCCAUUUAGCUUACCGCUUUCUAUUGAAAUUUGCAGGUUACAUGGAGUCCCUAAAUCCAUCAUUUCAGACCGUGAUCCAGUGUUCCAGAGCCGUUUUUGGAAGGAGUUGUUUCAUCUACAAGGCACAAAAUUAAAGUUCAGUACAACAUAUCACCCCCAAAUCGACGGUCAAACCGAAGUUAUAAAUCCCUGUUUAGAAGCUUACCUUAGGUGUUUUACCAGCGAAAACCCCCGAACAUGGUAUCGCUAUCUCUACCUUGCGGAGUUUUGGUACAACUCCUUAUACCACUCGACCAUCAAAACUACACCCUUCCAGGCUCUGUAUGGAUGUUCACCUCCUUCCAUUCCAGAUUACGUUCCAAGAACUGUCGCAUAACCAACACUGGACACCACGCUACAGGAUCGUGCACGAAUGCUGCACCAGUUAAAAGCCACGCUGAAAGCAACACAACAAAGAAUGGCGGAAUCAACAAACAGAUCAAGACGUGAUUACAAUAUUAGGGAAAAGGACUGGAUACUGCUCCGACGACAAGCUUAUCGCCAAACAUCACUCUCUUCCAAGACUCACAAUAAGCUUGGACAAAGGUACUUCGGUCCCUAUCCCGUUAAACGCCGCAUCGGUGAAGUGGCAUAUGAACUUUUCCUUCCUCCGUCAUCACAUAUCCAUCCAGUCUUCCACAUCUCCCUUCUCAAAUCUUAUCACGACCCAACCCCACUGUCGCAUUUCCAAUUCCCUCUCGAAACAGAGAACCCAACAGUACCAACCCAUGACCUCCCAACUCUCUUCCCAAACUAUACUUCACAUUCUGAGACUUCCAAUACUCCUUCUAACUCAUUACACACGAACCCAACUAAAGCACCCACAAAAUUCGCAUCUGCAGACACGUGGAAACCAUCUACGAUCCACGCCCCACUUAAACUGCCACCACCCUCUUUUGCAUGUGACCCUACACUUCCCAAAGCCCCACCAACUAUAACCCACGCACCAAAACCACUCCUUUCAACAUCCCAUUCAGCAGCAGCAUCACGUGACAAUCCAAUUUCCAAUGCCAUUCCAGCUGGAAACCACUCAUCGCACCAUGCUCCGUCAAUUUCCCAGCCAGUUGUAAGCCACGCCCAUGACUCUUCCGUUGACCCAACGGUCCUAGACUCGCAUGGUACCAAGGCCACUACACCAAAUCCCAAUGCUUCCACUUCAUUCCAAUCCAAAAAAGUAAUUCCAACUAAUACCACGGACCCCAACCAAAAUCAACAAAUUGUAGCCCAUUCAACCCAUUAUACCACACAACACACAUUCCCUUUCACGACCCAAGAGACCCUAUCCAUUUUGGCAAAUCCAAGUCUCAACCUUGAGGACAAGGUUGUCUCAAAGGAAGAGGCAGUUGAUAGACAUCCCAGGCCCAUUAGAAGCAGAGAAAAACCCAUCAAAUUUAGAGAUUAUGUCUAGAAGCAAUGAGCUGUCUUUUAGUGUAAGAAGAAUAUAAUUCUGUUAUGCUUUAUGCUUUAUGUUUUAUGUUACAUGAGGUACAACUGCCCUUAUAAUGGCCUUCAUGGUUGUAAAAAGGGUAGAGAAUGAUAAUAUAGUUUUAUCCUUAUCUUAGUUAGUUCUUUCCUUAGUUUUUCUCCUUGUGUUCUGAUUCCUAAUCUUUCACAACGUAACAUUUGUGGUGAAAG
rnacentral:lncRNA from 1 species